rnacentral:rRNA from 1 species
CCUACGGGGGGCAGCAGUAGGGAAUAUUGCUCAAUGGGGGAAACCCUGAAGCAGCAACGCCGCGUGGAGGAUGACGGUUUUCGGAUUGUAAACUCCUUUUGUUAGAGAAGAUAAUGACGGUAUCUAACGAAUAAGCACCGGCUAACUCCGUGCCAGCAGCCGCGGUAAUACGGAGGGUGCAAGCGUUACUCGGAAUCACUGGGCGUAAAGGGCGCGUAGGCGGGAUAGCAAGUCAGAUGUGAAAUCCUAUGGCUUAACCAUAGAACUGCAUUUGAAACUGUUAUUCUAGAGUAUGGGAGAGGUAGGUGGAAUUCGUGGUGUAGGGGUAAAAUCCGUAGAGAUCAAGAGGAAUACUCAUUGCGAAGGCGACCUGCUAGAACAUAACUGACGCUGAUGCGCGAAAGCGUGGGGAGCAAACAGGAUUAGAUACCCGGGUAGUC